rnacentral:rRNA from 1 species
UUGACGGGGCCCGCACAAGCGGAGGAACAUGUGGUUUAAUUCGAUGAUACGCGAGGAACCUUACCUGGGCUUAAAUGUAGAGUGCAUUUUUUAGAGAUAGAAAUUCCCUUCGGGGCUUUCUGCAAGGUGCUGCAUGGUUGUCGUCAGCUCGUGCCGUGAGGUGUCGGGUUAAGUCCCAUAACGAGCGCAACCCUUAUCGUUAGUUGCCAUCUGGUAAUGCAGGGGACUCUAGCGAAACUGCCACCGUAAGGUGAGAGGAAGGUGGGGGAUGACGUCAAGUCCUCAUGGCCCUUAUGGGUAGGGCUUCACACGUCAUACAAUGGUCGGUACAGAGGGUUGCCGAGCCGCGAGGUGGAGCCAAUCCCUUAAAGCCGAUCGUAGUCCGGAUCGUAGUCUGCAACUCGACUACGUGAAGUCGGAAUCGCUAGUAAUCGCAGAUCAGCAUGCUGCGGUGAAUACGUUCCCGGGUCUU